CAGGUUGGAUGGCAGCAUGGAGCCAGCUAAUGAAAUUCUAGAAUCUGCCUCUCAUGACAGACCAUUGGUAGCACAGACCUACAGUGCCGCUGUGACCAGAGGUGCUGCUUAUAUGCCUUCUUCGCCCACAAGACAUGUCUACAACGAAGAUCUGGGGGCGGUCGGCGGCGUCUGCCUGGAGGACGACAUCGGCGCCCUGCGGCUCGACGACGACAGCGAACAUCCUCCCAUGAUCCUUCGGACUGACUGAACUUCAACCUGUGAAUUGCAUUCCCCCCAAGCUGAGAAACGGCGGCCUGAGGCUUCCGGAGGACUCGUGUCGAGACGCCGCUACGGAGUCCGGCCUGAGCCAAGAGUGCGAACCUCGAAGGAAGACAAGGCUUCCCUCGGAGAUCGUUUCAAAGCAACACACACACACACGCACGCACCCCAUCCUAGCUUGUAGUGCCGGUUCCAUGCCACCCGAGGUGGAAACGCACACCUAGAUUUCACUUCAAAUUGGCUUCCCGCUUCCUUUUCUUUUCUUUUUUUAAGCCGUCAGGAAAUCGCCCCGUAUAUUUUUUUUUCGUUGUUGCCAAAAAAAAAAAAAACAACAACCCCCAAAACCCUGCUAUUUAUUCAGCACCUUUGAGCUUUUGCAUGCCUCCUUGUGCCAAGUGAAAAUGGGCAGGCUUGAUUUCAUUUUACGAACCGUUUUUGUUUUAAUUUUAAUUUCUAAAAGAAAAACAAAGUUUUGCGAACUUCACACUGGGCAUUGGCGAGGGGGGAAAGGAAGAGCAGCAAGGAUGAACUCGAGAUGCUUUCGCUUCUACUUCUUCUUCUGCCUGGACAAGAAAAUAAUUCUUUAAAAAAAGAAAAAGAAAAAAGAAAAUCCAAGUGGCUUUUUUCACGCACGGCUUAAGCAGGCGUGCCUGGAGAAUUUGUGACACUACUUUUACUAAAGAUCAAGUGUUUCCCUUCCCCUCUAAAUCUCCCGCCCCCUUUCCUCUCGUUUCACGAUCCAUUUCCUCCACCUCUUUUCUCUGGUUUUGUAUCUUUUUUUUUUUUUUUUGGCUUUCUCCCUGGCUCCUCAAGACCAUUUUGGUAAUUAAAACUCUUCCUGAUUCUGCCUCGUGGUGGUAUUUUUGUCUCUUCCAACGCGGCCUUGUUUUUCCAAGCAUCUUCCACCAUAUAGACAAGGCUUUGAUCGGCCGAGGAGAGAGAGAGAGAGAGAGAGAGAGAGAGAGAAGGGAAGAGCAAAGCUUUUAUCUCCCUUUCAGAGCCAUCUUUAGAAGCUGUGUGAAGCCAGGAAUCCUGGCUUAGCAGACCGCUGUAGGUUGCAUAUCGAUUAGGUUUGCACCGUAUGUUGCAAACAACCAGGCAGUGAAGAGAUCAGAAUUUUGAGGGCAAGAGAUGAAGUGGGGGUUUUUUUGCACACAUUGACAAUCCCUCUUUGUUUUGGGGGGGAUCUUUGGGUGAGCUCCAGAACUGCUGGGAUGUGGGUUCCUCUCUAUCCCUUUUUCCCCCCGCCCCCAUUUUUGAAUCUAGAUCUCUUCCCAGCCCUGUCCCGUGUUACUGGGAUCCCAGUUUGAGCUGGCUUCUUUGGCUACAACGCUUGAGCUUGGCAUAGAAAUCCGUCCUGCUGUAUUUGCUUGCUUGAAGAGUGAAGGAAACUGGCUGUGCUUGUUAACCAGCGUCAUGGUUUGUUAUGCCAAAAUCCACCCCCACCGCCACCCGGGCUUCAUACGAUGUCAUAACCUGGUUAGCAUGUUGACUUUAACAAGUGUUAAGUUGUUAACCAGAAAGUAUGUUAACGUUGGUUUUAUCCAGGCUGUAUAAAUCUACCUGUCUCCCUUGAAAUCCCUUCCCUGUCUGUAGCUUUUUUUAAAACUCUUUUCAGAAACUGUUCAAACCCUUAGAAUCUAUCCUGGGUUUGUUUGCUGCUGCUGGACAAACCCUUAUUUAUUUGUUUCUCCUUUUUUCAGAGCGGAACGAGCUCCUGUGGAUAUCAACCUGUCCCUUCCAGCUUCCUUCUCUAGUCAGGAGGUUUAUCCCUCUAUUUCUUAUUUUGUCAUGCUGUCCAUCUUUACAGUUAGCUCUAGGAAAUUAAAAGGGUGAUGCCUGAACUUUGGGGUGUCUUCUGAAGGAUGUCUUCGAAGAAAGAACUCGUUUUUGGCAUGUCAGUUAAGGCCCACGUGUUGUGGUUCAAGAUUUAAACGGAAUCAUGUUCCUGUAUCCUAUUUUUUGCUUGUUCGUCUCCUUGGCUGUAGUUCUUCCUCCUCCUCCUCCUCUUCUCGAGGUGUUACAUGGCCUAACCUGUUGUUGUCAUUUCUCACUUCCAACAGCUUGCACGAAGCUUGUCGUAUCAUGGGGAAUUUUUUUUUAGAAAAACAACAACAAUCCAAUCUCGUUUGCAACUGCCAGGACUUGGAUGAAAACGUGACCAAAAUCGGAGGGGAAAAAACAACCUGCCUUUUCUUUAUUGAGCUGUAAUGUGCCUUGUUCCAUUUUGUUUUGAACCUUUGAGAUUUGUUUCUGUGUGCCAAGAAAAAAAAUGUGGGAGGGGAAAAAAACCUUGCUUGGGUGUGAACAUUUUGAUUUAUUUUUUUUUCAUAGAACGUUAGCCAUUUUGGGAUGUCCCCCCCCCUUUUCCUUCCUUUGUAUUAAAUUAUCACUGGGUCCUCCUCAAUUUGUGGCUUUCUCUUCUGGGAACCAAAAUAAAUGAAAAUAUUUGCUGGAAGAAAGAAAUACAGGAAAAGAAAAACUGGGUGGCUGGGAUGUGUCUUUACAAGAAGGAAAAACAAACUCUUUUUUUUUUUCCUUGCUCCUCCUGCUAUUAUACCAAUUUAGGCUUUUUUGCUUCUUUUGAUUUUGUUGAGUUGGGUCAAAAUGAGAUCCUU